AUUGAACGCUGGCGGCAGGCCUAACACAUGCAAGUCGAGCGAGCGGCGGACGGGUGAGUAAUGUCUGGGGAACUGCCUGAUGGAGGGGGAGAACAACUGGAAACGGUAGCUAAUACCGCAUACCACCAGAGGUGCCCAGAUGGGAUUAGCUAGUAGGUGGGGUAACGGCGCACAUAGGCGACGCUCCCUAGCUGGUCUGAGAGGAUGACCUGCCACACUGGAACUGAGACACGGUCCAGACUCCUACGGGAGGCAGCAGUGGGGAAUAUUGCACAAUGGGCGCAAGCCUGAUGCAGCCAUGCCGCGUGUGUGAAGAAGGCCUUCGGGUUGUAAAGCACUUUCAGCGGGGAGGCGUUACCCGCAGAAGAAGCACCGGCUAACUCCGUGCCAGCCGCCGCGGUAAUAC
rnacentral:rRNA from 1 species